GAUGAACGCUGGCGGCGUGCCUAAUACAUGCAAGUCGAGCGAACAGACGAGGAGCUUGCUCCUCUGACGUUAGCGGCGGACGGGUGAGUAACACGUGGAUAACCUACCUAUAAGACUGGGAUAACUUCGGGAAACCGGAGCUAAUACCGGAUAAUAUAUUGAACCGCAUGGUUCAAUAGUGAAAGACGGUUUUGCUGUCACUUAUAGAUGGAUCCGCGCCGCAUUAGCUAGUUGGUAAGGUAACGGCGUACCAAGGCAACGAUGCGUAGCUGACCUGAGAGGGUGAUCAGUCACACUGGAACUGAGACACGGUCCAGACUCCUACGGGAGGCAGCAGUAGGGAAUAUUCGGCAAUGGGCGAAAGCCUGACGCAGCCACGCCGCGUGUGUGAAGAAGGUCUUCGGAUCGUAAAACACUGUUAUUAGGGAAGAACAACAGUAUAAGUAAAUCUGGACGUCUUGACGGUACCAACACAGAAAGCCACGGCUAACUACGUG
rnacentral:rRNA from 1 species